rnacentral:tRNA from 1 species
GCCUCUAUAGUUUAGUGGUUAGAAUACUAGACUAUAGAUCUAGAGGUCCUCGGUUCGAAUCCGAGUAGUGGCU